AUUGAACGCUGGCGGCAGGCCUAACACAUGCAAGUCGAGCGAGCGGCGGACGGGUGAGUAAUGUGUGUGAAACUGCCUGAUGGAGGGGGAUAUCUACUGGAAACGGUAGCUAAUAUCGCAUACCCUCUGAUGUGCCCAGAUGGGAUUAGCUCGUAGGUGGGGUAAUGGCGCACCUAGGCGACGAUCCCUAGCUGGUCUGAGAGGAGGACCAGCCACACUGGAACUGAGACACGGUCCAGACUCCUACGGGAGGCAGCAGUGGGGAAUAUUGCACAAUGGGCGCAAGCCUGAUGCAGCCAUGCCGCGUGUAUGAAGAAGGCCUUCGGGUUGUAAAGUACUUUCAGCGAGGAGGCGUUACUCGCAGAAGAAGCACCGGCUAACUCCGUGCCAGCAGCCGCGGUAAUAC
rnacentral:rRNA from 1 species